rnacentral:rRNA from 1 species
GACGUAGGGCGCGAGCGUUGUCCGGAUUUAUUGGGCGUAAAGAGCUCGUAGGCGGUCUGUCGCGUCGGAUGUGAAAACCCAGGGCUCAACCCUGGGCCUGCAUUCGAUACGGGCAGACUAGAGUGUGGCAGGGGAGACUGGAAUUCCUGGUGUAGCGGUGAAAUGCGCAGAUAUCAGGAGGAACACCGGUGGCGAAGGCGGGUCUCUGGGCCAAUACUGACGCUGAGGAGCGAAAGCGUGGGGAGCGAACAGG